rnacentral:rRNA from 1 species
GUAACACGUAUGCAACCUGCCCCUGUCAGGGGGACAACCCGCCGAAAGGCGGGCUAAACCCGCGUACAUGCCACCGGGGCAUCCCGGAGGCAGGAAAGGCUUCGGCCGGACAGGGAUGGGCAUGCGGCGCAUUAGGCAGUAGGCGGGGUAACGGCCCACCUAACCGACGAUGCGUAGGGGUUCUGAGAGGAAGGUCCCCCACACUGGUACUGAAACACGGACCAAACUCCUACGGGAGGCAGCAGUGAGGAAUAUUGGUCAAUGGUCGGGAGACUGAACCAGCCAAGCCGCGUGAGGGAGGAAGGUACAGAGUAUCGUAAACCUCUUUUGUCAGGGAACAAAGGCGGGGACGUGUCCCCGGAUGAGUGUACCUGAAGAAAAAGCAUCGGCUAACUCCGUGCCAGCAGCCGCGGUAAUACGGAGGAUGCGAGCGUUAUCCGGAUUUAUUGGGUUUAAAGGGUGCGCAGGCGGUCUGUUAAGUCAGCGGUCAAAGCCCGGGGCUCAACCCCGGCCCGCCGUUGAAACUGGCAGUCUCGAGUUGGACAGAAGUAUGCGGAAUGCGCGGUGUAGCGGUGAAAUGCAUAGAUAUCGCGCAGAACUCCGAUUGCGAAGGCAGCAUGCCGGCUCCACACUG